rnacentral:rRNA from 1 species
UAGGGAAUCUUCGGCAAUGGGGGGAACCCUGACCGAGCAACGCCGCGUGAGUGAAGAAGGUUUUCGGAUCGUAAAGCUCUGUUGUUAAGGAAGAACGAGUGUGAGAAUGGAAAGUUCAUACUGUGACGGUACUUAACCAGAAAGGGACGGCUAACUACGUGCCAGCAGCCGCGGUAAUACGUAGGUCCCGAGCGUUGUCCGGAUUUAUUGGGCGUAAAGCGAGCGCAGGCGGUUAGAUAAGUCUGAAGUUAAAGGCAGUGGCUCAACCAUUGUAGGCUUUGGAAACUGUUUAGCUUGAGUGCAGAAGGGGAGAGUGGAAUUCCAUGUGUAGCGGUGAAAUGCGUAGAUAUAUGGAGGAACACCGGUGACGAAAGCGGCUCUCUGGACUGUAACUGACGCUGAGGCUCGAAAGCGUGGGGAGCGAACAGG